GGUCCAUUGGCCAAAUGGUAAGGCAUCGGACUCCUAAUCCGGAGAUUGUGGGUUCGAGCCCCAUGUGGAUCG